UAAUUAGGCAAUGUUAUGUUAUUUACUGCUACGCCUUGCUUAGUAUUAGAAUACAAACCCAUACAUAUGCUUGUUUUGAUUUCCUUUGAACUGCAUUAGAUUGUUGUGGCUUGGUUAAACCAUGGUAUUAAACUGGUCUUACUAUAGGGUUUGGAGGUGGUUGUGGCAAUGUCAGUGCAAGGCAAUGAAUACUCUUCAUGGUAGUGCAGUGUUCAUGACAUAAUCCAGAAUGGCUUGUAUGCAUCAUUUAUGUUGGGUGUGGUGUGUGUAGGCUAAUCUUGUUGAUAGACAUUGCUUAGCAGACUUGGCAUUGCUAAACUAGUGUUACUGCUUGAGAAUAGGUCUUGAGCUGCCAUUCAUUGUAGAGAAAGAUGAUGAAUUCUUCUUUGGUGAAGGUGCUGACUGGGCAAAUCCAUGUUAUCAAUGAGGCCACAAUCACAGUUGGAGUUUCAAUGUUACUUGAAUGGGCAUGAUUUGUUAUGCUGUUACAUGAUGAUGCUUGUGUAUUGGUGUUGUUUGGUCUUGUUAUAGGGCUUCACUGCAAGAGAUUGU
rnacentral:lncRNA from 1 species